CUGGAGGUAUCAGAAGUGCGAAUGCUGACAUAAGUAACGAUAAAGCGGGUGAAAAGCCCGCUCGCCGGAAGACCAAGGGUUCCUGUCCAACGUUAAUCGGGGCAGGGUGAGUCGACCCCUAAGGCGAGGCCGAAAGGCGUAGUCGAUGGGAAACGGGUUAAUAUUCCCGUACUUGGUGUUACUGCGAAGGGGGGACGGAGAAGGCUAUGUUGGCCGGGCGACGGUUGUCCCGGUUUAAGCGUGUAGGUGUGUGUUCCAGGUAAAUCCGGUUCACUUUAACACUGAGGCGUGAUGACGAGGCACUACGGUGCUGAAGCAACAAAUGCCCUGCUUCCAGGAAAAGCCUCUAAGCAUCAGGUAACAUCAAAUCGUACCCCAAACCGACACAGGUGGUCAGGUAGAGAAUACCAAGGCGCUUGAGAGAACUCGGGUGAAGGAACUAGGCAAAAUGGUGCCGUAACUUCGGGAGAAGGCACGCUGACACGUAGGUGAAGUGAUUUACUCAUGGAGCUGAAGUCAGUCGAAGAUACCAGCUGGCUGCAACUGUUUAUUAAAAACACAGCACUGUGCAAACACGAAAGUGGACGUAUACGGUGUGACGCCUGCCCGGUGCCGGAAGGUUAAUUGAUGGGGUCAGCGCAAGCGAAGCUCCUGAUCGAAGCCCCGGUAAACGGCGGCCGUAACUAUAACGGUCCUAAGGUAGCGAAAUUCCUUGUCGGGUAAGUUCCGACCUGCACGAAUGGCGUAAUGAUGGCCAGGCUGUCUCCACCCGAGACUCAGUGAAAUUGAACUCGCUGUGAAGAUGCAGUGUACCCGCGGCAAGACGGAAAGACCCCGUGAACCUUUACUAUAGCUUGACACUGAACAUUGAGCCUUGAUGUGUAGGAUAGGUGGGAGGCUUUGAAGUGUGGACGCCAGUCUGCAUGGAGCCGGCCUUGAAAUACCACCCUUUAAUGUUUGAUGUUCUAACGUGGACCCGUGAUCCGGGUUGCGGACAGUGUCUGGUGGGUAGUUUGACUGGGGCGGUCUCCUCCUAAAGAGUAACGGAGGAGCACGAAGGUUGGCUAAUCCUGGUCGGACAUCAGGAGGUUAGUGCAAUGGCAUAAGCCAGCUUGACUGCGAGCGUGACGGCGCGAGCAGGUGCGAAAGCAGGUCAUAGUGAUCCGGUGGUUCUGAAUGGAAGGGCCAUCGCUCAACGGAUAAAAGGUACUCCGGGGAUAACAGGCUGAUACCGCCCAAGAGUUCAUAUCGACGGCGGUGUUUGGCACCUCGAUGUCGGCUCAUCACAUCCUGGGGCUGAAGUAGGUCCCAAGGGUAUGGCUGUUCGCCAUUUAAAGUGGUACGCGAGCUGGGUUUAGAACGUCGUGAGACAGUUCGGUCCCUAUCUGCCGUGGGCGCUGGAGAACUGAGGGGGGCUGCUCCUAGUACGAGAGGACCGGAGUGGACGCAUCACUGGUGUUCGGGUUGUCAUGCCAAUGGCACUGCCCGGUAGCUAAAUGCGGAAGAGAUAAGUGCUGAAAGCAUCUAAGCACGAAACUUGCCCCGAGAUGAGUUCUCCCUGAGACUUAGAG
rnacentral:rRNA from 1 species